rnacentral:sRNA from 1 species
GUUCAAGUCUUGGCAUUUUCGAAUUUCCCACUGCGGAUCGGCAUGCCGCUCUCGAGGAUUAUCAAAUGGCAUGGCUUUCCAUUGCCUCACUUAUGACCCCAGAUAUUUCCUUGGAUUAUCCAUAUCUUUUGAACAUUCAAGACUACAAUAACGCAUAAUGGCCAAUAGCCAGGCUCUAGGCACUGCUCCUCUGAAACUUGAACGACCGUAUCACAAGCUCUCACAUUAUGCAAUGGUAUAUCUGGAUGAGACUGGGAAAGUUCAAUAUGACUUCUCACCAUCAAUGCUGCCAUUUCGCCACCACUUAUUUCCCACGAAUAUGAAGGCUCAAUUUCAGCAAUGGGUCGCUCAAAAACAAGGCCUGAUGGAUGCAAACUCACAGAAAUGUCAACACUCUGAGACUGAUGAUGAUUUUGAUGAUGAUGCAAGGGACAAGAUAGGCAUAUCAAUUGGAGAUAAGGAAAGGAUCACAGCUUAUUAUAUAGAGGCCUUUGUCAGAUUUCAGCAACUUAACUGCAGUCGGAUUGCCAAGGCUUAUAUAAAGGCCAUCGAACCACGAAAGCAGUCCGCACAUCCCUACAAUGGAGGGAAGCUGAGAGAACCUGAUAAAACCAAACCAUCCUGGUGGCCAGUUGACGUGAUUCAUAAGGAGCCUGAUCAUUUGAAGAAGCCUGACCGGAUCAAGCUUCUUAUUCACAUACUCCGCAUCCGUGCUCUUCACAAGCUAAGGGAAGCCGGGAGGGAUGUCCAACAACGCCAGCUUACCCCAUGUGAGAAGUCAGCAGUGUUGAAUGAGAUAUACCGAGUUAGGGAAA